rnacentral:rRNA from 1 species
AUACGUAGGGGGCGAGCGUUGUCCGGAAUGAUUGGGCGUAAAGGGCGCGUAGGCGGCCCGGUAAGUCUGGAGUGAAAGUCCUGUUUUUAAGAUGGGAAUUGCUUUGGAUACUGUCGGGCUUGAGUGCAGAAGAGGUAAGUGGAAUUCCCAGUGUAGCGGUGAAAUGCGUAGAGAUUGGGAGGAACACCAGUGGCGAAGGCGACUUACUGGACUGUAACUGACGCUGAGGCGCGAAAGUGUGGGGAGCAAACAGGAUUAGAUACCCUGGUAGUCCACACUGUAAACGAUGAAUGCUAGGUGUAGGGGGUAUCGACCCCUUCUGUGCCGCAGUCAACACAAUAAGCAUUCCGCCUGGGGAGUACGGCCGCAAGGUUGAAACUCAAAGGAAUUGACGGGG